GCGUUGUUCGGAAUUACUGGGCGUAAAGCGCACGUAGGCGGCUUUGUAAGUUAGAGGUGAAAGCCCGGGGCUCAACUCCGGAAUUGCCUUUAAGACUGCAUCGCUAGAAUUGUGGAGAGGUAAGUGGAAUUCCGAGUGUAGAGGUGAAAUUCGUAGAUAUUCGGAAGAACACCAGUGGCGAAGGCGACUUACUGGACACAUAUUGACGCUGAGGUGCGAAAGCGUGGGGAGCAAACAGG
rnacentral:rRNA from 1 species